rnacentral:rRNA from 1 species
CCUACGGGAGGCAGCAGUGGGGAAUAUUGGUCAAUGGGCGCUAGCCUGAACCAGCAACGUAGCGUGAAGGAUGACUGCCCUAUGGUUUGUAAACUUCUUUUAUAUGGGAAUAAAGUGCAGUAUGUAUACUGCUUUGCAUGUACCUUAUGAAUCAGGAUCGGCUAACUCCGUGCCAGCAGCCGCGGUAAUACGGAGGAUCCGAGCGUUAUCCGGAUUUAUUGGGUUUAAAGGGAGCGUAGGCGGGUUGUUAAGUCAGUUGUGAAAGUUUGCGGCUCAACCGUAAAAUUGCAGUUGAUACUGGCAUCCUUGAGUGCAGUAGAGGUAGGCGGAAUUCGUGGUGUAGCGGUGAAAUGCUUAGAUAUAAGGAAGAACUCCGAUGGCGAAGGCAGCCUGCUGGACAAUAACUGACGCUGAGGCGCGAAAGCGUGGGGAGCAAACAGGAUUAGAUACCCGGGUAGUC